GACGAACGCUGGCGGCGUGCCUAAUACAUGCAAGUCGAGCGAACUUUUGGGAGCUUGCUCCCAAAAAGUUAGCGGCGGACGGGUGAGUAACACGUGGGCAACCUGCCUGUAAGACUGGGAUAACUUCGGGAAACCGGAGCUAAUACCGGAUAAUCCUAUUCCUCUCAUGAGGAAUAGCUGAAAGACGGUUUCGGCUGUCACUUAUAGAUGGGCCCGCGGCGCAUUAGCUAGUUGGUGAGGUAAUGGCUCACCAAGGCAACGAUGCGUAGCCGACCUGAGAGGGUGAUCGGCCACACUGGGACUGAGACACGGCCCAGACUCCUACGGGAGGCAG
rnacentral:rRNA from 1 species